rnacentral:misc_RNA from 1 species
GCUGAUACACCAUCGGCACACAGAGCACCACACACAUCACAGGCGUUUUCGCAUAGGCAUGCGGCAGAGAGUCCUUGCAUGUGAAGUCGCACGGCUGCGUGUGGCCACCGCUGCCCUUUUUACGUCGAACCGAGCCAUCAUCAACGGCGUGGCGAGUAACCGCAUUCCGCGUGGCAUGACGCCCCUGGGCGUGCCGUGCAGCGAAGACGUGUUGGAGGCGCUGGCAGAGGCCUAUGUGAACAUGGAUAUGGCCACCAUGACCGCCUUUCACAAGAAGGCGAUGGCAGAGAUGUUGCGCGCCGGUGGCGGUGGUGGGGCCGAACCCGCUGCGGUGGACUACGAGGAGCAUUUGCUACGAGCUUCGGGCGGCGCUAGUGGUGCUGCUGUCGCCACAUCGGCCCCGGCUGUUCCGGUGGCUCCUGGCGGCGACGCUGCGGCUGCGGAGAGUGCGGCUCCGUUGGCCAAGAAGGCACCUGAAAAGACGGCUUUCGACGUCACCCUCAAGAUUUUUCCGGCUGAGAACAAGAUCAAGCUGAUCAAGGAGCUGCGGUGUGCCUGUGGGCUUUCCAUCCAGGAAGCGAAGACGGCGAUCGAUAAGUGCCCAGGUGUGAUCGCCCGCCAGGUGCAGAAGGGCGACGCGGAGAAGCUCAAGGACGCUAUGGUGAAGCUGGGGGCCGAGGUGGAGCUGGUGUGAGGGCCGAGCCGGAGUAGCUCAUUUCAUGCCAAAAAAAAAAAGCGCGCGCCACGUGAGGCCGACGCGCCUUCUCCCCUUUUCUCAUAGGGUGCUCAUGCGCGCAUAGGAAGACGGGAAUAGGCCCUGUUGAACUCUACCUCCGUGCGUUGUGGCGGUGUUCGAUGCUGCUGCUGGAGGGAGGUUGUUUGGUGACUUGAUGAGAGGGGGCGCCGCUCACACUCUGGUGAAUCGAAAGAGAGGUACGCGUGCAUGGUGAAGGGGCGCCCGUGCGCUCGAGUGAAUGAAGCGCCGUUGGCACGUGGCGGUGAGCUGUGGCGGACUUCUGUGGCGCAUGCACGCUCCCUAUCUUCUUCCUCAGUGUCGGCUAUGCACGUCGACGCUCUCCCUCUCAAGCAACCGGCUUUGAAAUCUUUCCUCUACGUUGUGCUGCCUUCCCCACUCCCCCAUGCCCCGACGCCAACCGUCUCCACGCACCGUGCGCACACCCGCCGCAG